UACGAAGGGGGCUAGCGUUGUUCGGAUUUACUGGGCGUAAAGCGCACGUAGGCGGAUCGAUCAGUCAGGGGUGAAAUCCCAGAGCUCAACUCUGGAACUGCCUUUGAUACUGUCGAUCUGGAGUAUGGAAGAGGUGAGUGGAAUUCCGAGUGUAGAGGUGAAAUUCGUAGAUAUUCGGAGGAACACCAGUGGCGAAGGCGGCUCACUGGUCCAUUACUGACGCUGAGGUGCGAAAGCGUGGGGAGCAAACAGA
rnacentral:rRNA from 1 species